AUUGAACGCUGGCGGCAUGCUUUACACAUGCAAGUCGGACGGCAGCACAGAGAAGCUUGCUUCUUGGGUGGCGAGUGGCGAACGGGUGAGUAAUAUAUCGGAACGUACCGAGUAAUGGGGGAUAACUAAUCGAAAGAUUAGCUAAUACCGCAUAUUCUCUGAGGAGGAAAGCAGGGGACCUUCGGGCCUUGCGUUAUUCGAGCGGCCGAUAUCUGAUUAGCUAGUUGGUGGGGUAAAGGCCUACCAAGGCGACGAUCAGUAGCGGGUCUGAGAGGAUGAUGCGCCACACUGGGACUGAGACACGGCCAAGACUACUACGGGAGGCAGCAGUGGGGAAUUUUGGACAAUGGGCGCAAGCCUGAUCCAGCCAUGCCGCGUGUCUGAAGAAGGCCUUCGGGUUGUAAAGGACUUUUGUCAGGGAAGAAAAGGCUGUGGCUAAUAUCGACAGCUGAUGACGGUACCUGAAGAAUAAGCACCGGCUAACUACGUG
rnacentral:rRNA from 1 species